rnacentral:rRNA from 1 species
CACAAGCGGUGGAUGAUGUGGUUAAUUCGAUGCAACGCGAAAACCUUUACCACCUUUGACAUGGCAGGAAUCCCGAAGAGAUUUGGGAGUGCUCGAAAGAGAACCUGCACACAGGUGCUGCAUGGGCUGUCGUCAGCUCGUGUCGUGAGAUGUUGGGUUAAGUCCUGCAACGAGCGCAACCCUCGCCUUUAGUUGCCAGCAUUCAGUUGGGCACUCUAGAGGGACUGCCGGUGUCAAACCGGAGAAGUGGGAUGACGUCAAGUCCUCAUGGCCUUUAUGUCUAGGGCUACACACGUACUACAAUGGCCGGUACAAAGGGCAGCCACUCAGCGAUGAGGCGCUAAUCCCAUAAAGCCGGUCUCAGUCCGGAUCGCAGUCUGCAACUCGACUGCGUGAAGUUGGAAUCGCUAGUAAUCGUGGAUCAGAAUGUCACGGUGAAUACGUUCCCGGGUCUU